rnacentral:rRNA from 1 species
UUUAUUGGAGAGUUUGAUCCUGGCUCAGGAUGAACGCUGGCGGCGUGCCUAAUACAUGCAAGUCGAGCGAAUGGAUUAAGAGCUUGCUCUUAUGAAGUUAGCGGCGGACGGGUGAGUAACACGUGGGUAACCUGCCCAUAAGACUGGGAUAACUCCGGGAAACCGGGGCUAAUACCGGAUAACAUUUUGAACCGCAUGGUUCGAAAUUGAAAGGUGGCUUCGGCUGCCACUUAUGGAUGGACCCGCG